GCAGUGGUAGCUCAGUGGUAAUACAUUGGACUACUACUCAGAAAGUUUUGAGUUCAAAUCCCAGCCCUUAAC